CGGAUGUAGCCAAGUGGAUUAAGGCAGUGGAUUGUGA
rnacentral:tRNA from 28 species